rnacentral:rRNA from 1 species
UGAGGAAUAUUGCGCAAUGGAGGAAACUCUGACGCAGCAACGCCGCGUGGGUGAUGAAGGCCUUCGGGUCGUAAAGCCCUGUCGGGCGGGAAGAACGUCCCUUCGGGGAAUGACGGUACCGCCAGAGGAAGCACCGGCUAACUCCGUGCCAGCAGCCGCGGUAAUACGGAGGGUGCAAGCGUUAUUCGGAAUUACUGGGCGUAAAGGGCGUGCAGGCGGGAGAGCAAGUCUGAUGUGAAAGCCCGGGGCUUAACCCCGGAAGGGCAUUGGAAACUGCUUUUCUGUAGUUCAGGAGAGGAAGGGAGAAUUGCCGGUGUAGAGGUGAAAUUCGUAGAGAUCGGGAGGAACAUCAGUGGCGAAGGCGUCCUACUGGACAGCAACUGACGCUGAGACGCGAAAGCGUAGGGAGCAAACA